rnacentral:lncRNA from 1 species
ACCUGUAUGCCAUAGCAGUGUCUCCACACUCUUUGAUUAAGAGGACAACUAACCCAUAUAACCUACAGUGACCUAUGCUCGAUAGAAGCUGUCGUCCUUAUCAACAGCCUAUCAUUUGAUCGUGAACAAUUUUAAGGACUACUCGAUAAAUCCUCUCUUUAUCGAAUCUAAAUAGUCUUAAGGAUUUCAUCACAACAAUAGAGUGCAUUAGAAG